UGAAAAUUUUUAUUUAUUAAUUUUAUUUGUUUAUAUUUUUUUUUAAUAAAAAUAAUUUUAAUGUUUUUUAGGUUUAGUAUUUUAUAAAGAUAAACUAAUUUUAAUUAUAGUAAAUUUGUAUUGUAAAAGAUUAUUGAAAUAUUUUGAAAAAUAUUUUAAUUUAAAAGAACUUUUAAUUUAAGGUAUCUUGUGUAUCAGAGUUUAUCAAAUAAAAAUUAAUUAUAAUUAAUUUUCUCGAAUUAAAAAGAUCUAAUAAAUUAUUUUAGUUACUGUAGAAUAAUUAUUAAUAAUAUUUUAUUAGAAAUGAAACGUUAAUCGUUUUUUAAUAUAUCUAGUUUUUUAAGAAAUAAAUUUAAUUUAGAUAAUUUAUUUUAAUGAUUUAAUUCAAUAAAUUGUUAUAAUAAAUUAUUAAUAUUUUAAGGGAUGAGCUUUAAAAUAAAAUUUUAUAAAUAACUAUUAUUAAGUAAUAAUUGUAAGCUUAGAAUUAGCUAUCAAUAGAAAUUAUGUUUUAAUUUAUUUUUUAUUUAAUAUUAUUUAUUAUUUAUUUUAAAUUUUUUAUUAAAAUAUAAAUUUUAAUUUUAUAAAUUUAUUAAUAAUGAUAAAAUUAGUAAAUAUUAUCAAUUAUAUAAAUAAAUCUUAAUUUGAUUGGUUUUUAUAAUUAAUUCGGCAAAUUUUGUGCUCACCUGUUUAUCAAAAACAUGUCUUUUUGGUUAUUUAAUAUAAAGUCUGACCUGCCCACUGAAUUUAUUUUGAAGGGCCGCAGUAUUUUGACUGUGCAAAGGUAGCAUAAUCAUUAGUCUUUUAAUUGAAGGCUGGUAUGAAUGGUUGGAUGAGGUACAAGCUGUGUCAUAAAAAUUAACUUUUGAAUUUACCUUUUUAGUCAAAAGGCUAAAAUAAAAUUAAAAGACGAGAAGACCCUAUAGAGCUUUAUAUAAUUUAUAUUUAAAUUAUUAAGAUUUUUUAAGUUUAAUUAUUCUCUUAUAUUUUGUUGGGGUGACAAUAAAAUUUAUAAAACUUUUAUUUUUAUUAAUCAUUUAUUUAUGUUUAUAUGAUCCAGUUUUAUUGAUUAUAAAUUUAAGUUACCUUAGGGAUAACAGCGUAAUUUUUUUUGAGAGUUCUUAUCGACAAAAAAGAUUGCGACCUCGAUGUUGGAUUAAGAGUAAUUUUGGGUGUAGAAGUUCAAAGUUUAAGUCUGUUCGACUUUUAAAUUCUUACAUGAUCUGAGUUCAAACCGGUGUAAGCCAGGUUGGUUUCUAUCUUUAAUAAGAAAUAAUAUUUUAGUACGAAAGGACCAAAUAUUAAAAAAAUUAUUUUUAUUUAAUAAUUAAUAUUAUUAAUUUAUACUAUUUUGGCAGAUUAGUGCAU
rnacentral:rRNA from 1 species